GUCAUUUCAAACGCCACUGUUGCAGAGUUUAAGCGUCUUCUUGGUGUUAAGCCAACACCGAAGAAGCAUGAUCCGUCUUGAAGCAUUUCUUAGGUGUUCCUGUUGUUGCUUAUCUGUCUUCUUGAAAAUGAAGCUUGAUCAUUCUUAGAUAUGAGAUGGAGUUUGGGAAACCUGCAUUUAUACAAGUCACUGAUGCUGAGAUGGGAUUCAAGAAGAUUUGUUAAGAUUGCUCACUCUCGUAGGGGUUAACCUUUGUUUUCCUAGCAUUUGAUGUGUUCUUUGAAAUCUUUUGUGUUGUGCUGGCAUGUCUUAUCGGAAUCGCACUCUGUUUCUGCCUCCUCUGCAUUAUUGCUCUUCUUUACGCAGUUGUUGGGCAGGUCUAUGGUUGGGGAAGAGGAGAACAUGCAAGGCUCGGGUUAGGUGACAAUGGCAGAGGUGACAGUAGCCAACCAUGUAGGCCGAUUUGACUGGAGGGUAGAGGCUGGUCCAAAUGGGGAUGAAUCUGAUCUUUCUGAAGCCAUUGGUAUCGAUGUUUGCCGCAAGUUUCCUCUCAUUGCGUUUCCAUCUUCUGUUAUGCAAAAUGCUUUCUCUUUCACCUCGUUUUGUAACACUAAUAAGAAGAGUUGUAAGA